CAGCAGCCGCGGUAAUACGGAGGGUGCAAGCGUUAAUCGGAAUUACUGGGCGUAAAGCGUGCGUAGGCGGUUCGUUAAGUCUGUUGUGAAAGCCCCGGGCUCAACCUGGGAAUGGCAAUGGAUACUGGCGAGCUAGAGUGUGUCAGAGGAUGGUGGAAUUCCCGGUGUAGCGGUGAAAUGCGUGGAGAUCGGGAGGAACAUCAGUGGCGAAGGCGGCCAUCUGGGACAACACUGACGCUGAGGCACGAAAGCGUGGGGAGCAAACAAGAUUAGAUACCCGGGUAGUCCCUGUCUCUUAUAC
rnacentral:rRNA from 1 species